AUUUCUCUCUCUGCCAUUUCGUUACCUACUCUCUUUCUCUCCACCACCACUGCUACCUACUGCACUCCUCCUCCUCGCUUUUCCUAUACCCCUUCCAUCCCCCCACAAUACCCAUUCCACCGUAUUCACAAAUGGCCGCUUCUCCGCAUGCUGCUAUGAAGAAGGCAGCGAAGAAGGCCGGCUCGAAGAAAGCGAUGCCCAAGGCCUCUGCGCCGAAGAAGUCUAAGAAGGCUGCACCGAAGAAGAAGUCGAAGAGCUCCAGCUCGACGAAGCGCGGCACGAAGAGGGCCGCUGCGAAGAAGUAGAAUGCAAAUGCUGAGGCCGACACACAUCGCUGUUAGAGAUCGUUCCAGCGUUUUUUUUUUGUGGUUGGCUGCGGUCGCCUCUCCUCCAACCCCGUGUCGCUCACGCGUAUGGGCAAGAUAGGCAAUGGCUUCUGCGCACACAAUCAUCAUACGCAUACGCUUGGAACGCUGACGUGUUUCAUUCCGCCUUCUGUGUUGGUGCACUCCCCUCCUGCAUCUUCUCGCUCCAUUUUUUUUGUUGUUUGUUUUCUUCGUUUUUCUCCCCGUCAAAUUCAUAGAGAUUUGUUUAUCUGCCCUCCAUCUCUCCUCCCUUCUCCAUCUCCAUGAUUUUAUGUCAUGUCGGUUUCUUUGAUUGGUUUCCUCGUCCUUCGCUUACGGUGUACGUUUUUGCCUGACCAGAAGUCAUUUGUGUACCACUUCUCUGUUCUUGUACAUGGGGCAUGUUUCUCUCUCUCUCCUGUUUUCGUUUUUCUUUUCCUUCUCACCCACCUAUCCCCCUCCCUUACCUUGUCUCGGUUAAGGAAGGCGUGUGCGUGUGUGUGUUUAGAUUGCGGCUCAUGUUGCUCCAUCGCGCGCUUUUCUUCUCCAGGUUUCGUUGCCUACCUGCUCUCAGCGUGUAUAUGUACGUCUAGGCUUAUGUAUGCAUGUGUGCGUGUGUGUGUCUUUCCCCUUCCCCCCCCCCCCCAACACACACAGACACCCACAUACAUACAUGCUCGGACAAGUGUUGAGGCACAAGCAGACGAGGCAGAGAGGCGGGAAAGGGAAGAAGGAAAAGAAAACAGGAUGAGAACAAAAAAAAAGAUAUAUAAAAAAAGAAAGGAGACAGAGGAGGAUAGCGACUAGAGACCCAUAUCGAGCACAAACACCACAUUUUCGAACUUGCCAGUGUCGUUCCUCUCCCCUCGCGUCUACCUUCCGCACACACGCCCUCUCCUCCUCUUCCUCCUCCCCCCUUCCACUGCCCUGUCUUCUCCAUCCUUUCAAUCUUGCGUGGGCCUUGCUCUUUUCUUUUUGUUCUCUUUUUGCUUUUUCCCCGAGUGCCCUCCUCUUCCCCCCUCGCUUCCCUCAUGUGGUUGGCUCCUCUCCGCCUUGCCUUUCAGAAUAGAAGUCUCCCUGGUUGUGCUCGCGUGUCGUGAGCGGACGCAGGUAGGAAAAGAGAGGAAAAAAAACAUGCGUUGGAGAGAGGUGCGAGAUGCAGAAGAAAGAGCACGAAGCGGCGCGAGGAAGGGAGAGAACGAAGAUGACGACAGGCGUACGGGCAGAGUGUGUACUUGUAGGACUGCCGUUUUUCUUUUUGUAUUAUGUUCCCCAUUUAUAUUUUCUCCAUCAUCUCUUGUGAGAAUGCCCACGAAUUGUUCUCUUGUAUCCUUGCGAUCGUCUUUGGCGACUCUUGUCCUACGCCUUGUCAUCGGUCCUUCUCCCUAGUGCAACGUGAGCCCGCGUAAAUGGCUGAAUAGCUGCAUUCCAUGUGUGUGUGUGUGUGUCCCUACGUAGGAUUGCAGCUCGGGCCGUUGCCUCGCUCCGGCUGUGAAGACGCUAGCGAAGACAAGCGAAAGACAAACGUGCGAAAACUGCGAAACCAGAAAUGAUCAUGGGAAAGAAAAAAGGAACAAAAAAAAAGAUGCGGCACAGAGGCUUGUGCACCUCUGCGUGUGUGUGCGAGUACGCGUUCUCAUCCAUCGACGUGCGCACGUGCACAUCUGGUGCCCAAGACGGCUCUUGUCCAUAAGUAGCAGCGUCCGUCGUGUGUCACAAAGGCAGUCUUGUGCGCCUUCUGCAUCUUGAAGAGGGCGCGGUCCCUUAAUAGGGGGAUGCACAAGGACGUCAGGAGAGUUGAUAUCGCUUGUAGCCAUGCGCGCCCCUCUUCUGGCGUAAGGGGCUUUGUACGCGUUCCUGCUUGCGCUUACACGCCUUCACUCACACGAGGCUGUGCGCUCGAGCGUCAUGUAGCAACGGCGUGCGACCCUCUCCCACACAUGUACACUCGGCAAGUGUCGCAUGCAUGUGCGUGUGGGGGGGUUUCGGCAGCCUCAUGCUGUACACGUCAUCAUCGCCCCCACUCCGCAUGGCCGACCUCUCUUAGCUUUCAUCUUUCUCUUCCUUCUCGACGUGCCUGCUGGACGUCGUUGUCUCUCCCUUACUCGGCAUCCUAUCCUUUUGUACGGAUGCGCUUUCUCGUUUUUCGCGGUGUCCCUUUUCGCUUGCUCCCCCCUAAG
rnacentral:misc_RNA from 1 species